AAUAGACUUGUACUUAUAAGAGCUGAUAACUGAGGCUGCAUGUCUCAAAACAACACAACAUCGAAGUAUACUCCUUCAUAACAGCGGCUGAGUAUCAGAUCAAAUAUUUUACACUGUUUCAGUUUGGCAAGCUUGAUCGUCAUAAUCUCGGGGGCAAAGCACUAACAAAUAAAACAAAACAAAAACCCGGAUACACGGCGCAGUCAAAACUUUGACGAUUCCCUGUGCCUUCUUUCAUCUCUCAAACUCCCGUCAAAAAUAGAUUAUACUCUUAUAGAUCUUCACCUCCUGUUAAACCUCCCACCACCGCCUCCCCUGCCUCUUCCACCACCAAAUCGCCCGCCUCCGCCCCCGCCGAAUCUCCUUCCACCACCUCCACGGCCAAACCUCGACCCACCAAAGUUACCCUUGGACUGCUCCCUCUCUUGCAAGGCUGGCAGUUGCUUCACUUCAUCAAUUGUCAACCCGGCUGCGUUCUCCGCGCCUGCAAGCAAACAUGAAGCAAUUUUGAGCAGCUGAGGUUGCAAUACCCAAUACACAAACAACGUGAAACGCAUUCGAAUGUAAAUUCAGUCAGACGUAAAUUACAACAGCACAAACCAAACAGCGUAAAAAGAGUAUACCUUGAAUGUAAUCUUGAACCUCUGCUGAAGGAACAUCAAAUACAGCGCUUGUCCCGUCAGAAGUGAGGGUUAUACCAUGUACGCUUGAAAGCCUAUCUUCUGGCAUGAACCUUUUCAAUGUACUA
rnacentral:lncRNA from 1 species